rnacentral:rRNA from 1 species
UACGGAGGGGGCGAGCGUUAUUCGGAAUUAUUGGGCGUAAAGGGCGCGUAGGCGGCCUUGUAAGUCAAAGGUGAACUCCCUCGGCUCAACUGAGGAACUGCCUUUGAAACUGCAAGGCUUGAGGCCGGGAGGGGGUAGCGGAAUUCCCAAUGUAGCGGUGAAAUGCGUAGAUAUUGGGAGGAACACCAGUGGCGAAGGCGGCUACCUGGACUGGUUCUGACGCUGAGGCGCGAAAGCGUGGGUAGCAAACAGG